UACAGGCCCAGGGGUAGAAAGCCCUCAGAGGUGGUGGGAUGAAGGCCCCAGGAACUCCUGAGACUGGGGCAUGAGUAGGAAAACAUAGGUAGUGUGGGGACUCCACAGCUGCAGAGGACCCCGAAAAGCUGUGGGGAGGUUCCCUCGGACCUUGGCCGUGUCAGGGAGGCGGCUCUGCAGUGCUGCAGGAGAGGUAAAGAGUGGGAGGGUGGUACUGGGGAAUGUGGUGAGGAUGCUCCCUGGGGGCUCUGAGAUGGAGGACAAAGGAAUGGAAAGCAGAAGCCUGCUGAGCAUUGUCAGAAAAAGCAAAAAUUUGGCUGGAAGGCCACAGUGAUAGUGAGGGGGUUUCUGCAGGGGCUGGAACUUGGGAUUUGACUGUGAGUGGUGGGGAAGCCAUGGUGUUCUAAGCUGGGGAGUGACUGAGAUGUCAGUUUAAAAUCACCUCUGGCUGCCCUGGGAGAAGCCAGGGGCCUGGGAAUAAGGGAGUUGGGUGAUUAGUCUCCAGGGAACUGCCAGAGGCCCCAGGGUAGUGCUGGCUGUGUGAAGUGUGUGAUCUGAGCCAGGUGCCUGGGCCAGGUUAUUCUGGGGUACCCUCUGGCAGGCACUGCCUUUCAGUCCACUGCCACUGAGAU
rnacentral:lncRNA from 1 species